rnacentral:rRNA from 1 species
GACGAACGCUGGUGGCGUGCUUAACACAUGCAAGUCGAACGGAAAGGCCCUGCUUUUGUGGGGUGCUUGAGUGGCGAACGGGUGAGUAACACGUGAGUAACCUGCCCUUGACUUUGGGAUAACUUCAGGAAACUGGGGCUAAUACCGGAUAGGAGCUCCUGCUGCAUGGUGGGGGUUGGAAAGUUUCGGCGGUUGGGGAUGGACUCGCGGCUUAUCAGCUUGUUGGUGGGGUAGUGGCUUACCAAGGCUUUGACGGGUAGCCGGCCUGAGAGGGUGACCGGCCACAUUGGGACUGAGAUACGGCCCAGACUCCUACGGGAGGCAGCAGUGGGGAAUAUUGCACAAUGGGCGGAAGCCUGAUGCAGCAACGCCGCGUGCGGGAUGACGGCCUUCGGGUUGUAAACCGCUUUCGCCUGUGACGAAGCGUGAGUGACGGUAAUGGGUAAAGAAGCACCGGCUAACUACGUG